rnacentral:rRNA from 1 species
UCGGGAAUUUUGGGCAAUGGGCGAAAGCCUGACCCAGCAACGCCGCGUGAAGGAUGAAGUAUUUCGGUAUGUAAACUUCGAAAGAAUAGGAAGAAUAAAUGACGGUACUAUUAUAAGGUCCGGCUAACUACGUGCCAGCAGCCGCGGUAAUACGUAGGGACCAAGCGUUGUUCGGAUUUACUGGGCGUAAAGGGCGCGUAGGCGGCAAUUCAAGUCAUCUGUGAAAUCUCCGGGCUUAACUCGGAACGGUCAGAUGAUACUGCUUUGCUAGAGUGCAGAAGGGGCAAUCGGAAUUCUUGGUGUAGCGGUGAAAUGCGUAGAUAUCAAGAGGAACACCUGAGGUGAAGACGGGUUGCUGGGCUGACACUGACGCUGAGGCGCGAAAGCCAGGGGAG